UACGUAGGGAGCAAGCGUUGUCCGGAAUCAUUGGGCGUAAAGAGCGUGUAGGCGGUUUGGUAGGUCCGUUGUGAAAACUCGAGGCUCAACCUCGAGACGCCGAUGGAAACCAUCAGACUAGAGUCCGGAAGAGGAGAGUGGAAUUCCUGGUGUAGCGGUGAAAUGCGCAGAUAUCAGGAAGAACACCCGUGGCUAAGGCGGCUCUCUAGUACGGUACUGACGCUGAGACGCGAAAGCGUGGGGAGCGAACAGG
rnacentral:rRNA from 1 species